UACGUAGGGCGCAAGCGUUGUCCGGAAUUAUUGGGCGUAAAGAGCUCGUAGGCGGCUUGUCACGUCGAUUGUGAAAGCCCGAGGCUUAACCUCGGGUCUGCAGUCGAUACGGGCUAGCUAGAGUGUGGUAGGGGAGAUCGGAAUUCCUGGUGUAGCGGUGAAAUGCGCAGAUAUCAGGAGGAACACCGGUGGCGAAGGCGGCUUGCUGGGCCUUACCUGACGCUGAGGAGCGAAAGCGUGGGGAGCGAACAGG
rnacentral:rRNA from 1 species